rnacentral:rRNA from 1 species
CCUACGGGAGGCAGCAGUGAGGAAUAUUGGUCAAUGGGCGCGAGCCUGAACCAGCCAAGUAGCGUGAAGGAUGACUGCCCUACGGGUUGUAAACUUCUUUUAUAAAGGAAUAAAGUGAGGCACGUGUGCCUUUUUGUAUGUACUUUAUGAAUAAGGAUCUGCUAACUCCGUUCCAGCAGCCGCGGUAAUACGGAGGAUCCGGGCGUUAUCCGGAUUUAUUUGGUUUAAAGGGAGCGUAGAUGGGUUGUUAAGUCAGUUGUGAAAGUUUGCGGCUCAACCGUAAAAUUGCAAUUGCUACUGGCAGCCUUGAGUACAGUUGAGGUAGGCGGAAUUCGUGGUGUAGCGGUGAAAUGCUUAGAUAUCACGAAGAACUCCGAUUGCGAAGGCAGCCUACUAAACUGCCACUGACAUUGAUGCUCGAAAGUGUGGGUAUCAAACAGGAGUAGAUACCCUUGUAGUC